rnacentral:tRNA from 1 species
AGUGUUGUGGGUCAGGGGUAGAGGACUCGCCUUGCAUGUGUGAGGCCCUGGGUUCAAUCCUCAGCAUCACAU